rnacentral:lncRNA from 1 species
GAUUUGAUUUAUUUGGUUUUAUUCUCAUCGAUUUUCUCUUCAGGCGAUCAAGAUGCAGAUCUUCGUCAAAACACUCACCGGUAAGACGAUCACCCUCGAAGUGGAGAGUUCCGACACGAUCGAUAACGUGAAGGCGAAAAUUCAAGACAAGGAAGGAAUACCACCAGACCAGCAGCGUCUCAUCUUCGCCGGAAAACAGCUCGAAGACGGCCGAACCUUGGCCGAUUACAACAUUCAAAAGGAGUCAACUCUCCACCUCGUCCUCCGUCUACGUGGCGGUAUGCAAAUCUUCGUCAAAACCCUAACUGGGAAAACAAUAACCUUGGAAGUCGAAAGCUCUGACACAAUCGACAACGUCAAGGCGAAGAUCCAAGACAAAGAAGGAAUUCCACCAGACCAGCAGAGGCUUAUCUUUGCUGGGAAACAACUUGAGGAUGGUCGAACUUUGGCUGAUUAUAACAUCCAAAAAGAGUCGACCCUUCAUCUGGUUUUGAGGCUUCGUGGUGGGAUGCAGAUUUUCGUCAAGACUUUGACCGGAAAGACGAUUACUUUGGAGGUGGAGAGUUCGGAUACCAUAGAUAAUGUGAAGGCGAAGAUUCAGGAUAAGGAAGGGAUUCCACCUGAUCAGCAAAGGUU